rnacentral:rRNA from 1 species
GAUGAACGCUGGCGGCGUGCUUAACACAUGCAAGUCGAACGGAAAGGCCCAAGCUUGCUUAGGUCCUCGAGUGGCGAACGGGUGAGUAACACGUGGGUGAUCUGCCCUGCACUUCGGGAUAAGCCUGGGAAACUGGGUCUAAUACCGGAUAGGACCACUUCUUGGAUGUUGUGGUGGAAAGUUUUUUCGGUGUGGGAUGAGCUCGCGGCCUAUCAGCUUGUUGGUGGGGUAAUGGCCUACCAAGGCGUCGACGGGUAGCCGGCCUGAGAGGGUGUACGGCCACAUUGGGACUGAGAUACGGCCCAGACUCCUACGGGAGGCAGCAGUGGGGAAUAUUGCACAAUGGGCGCAAGCCUGAUGCAGCGACGCCGCGUGGGGGAUGACGGCCUUCGGGUUGUAAACUCCUUUCGCUAGGGACGAAGCGUUUUUGUGACGGUACCUGGAGAAGAAGCACCGGCUAACUACGUG